AGAUUUGCAAAUUGAAAAAUUUACCUUAGCUGUAAAUUCCAAAAAAGGAUUAGAGGCAGGUCAAAGUAGAUGCAAUAUUCUUAGAUGAAUUAGGCAGGUACAACAGGUAAAAGAUUAGAAAUAACUUGAUGAACCAGGGUAGUGUUAUGGAGGAGGAGAGAGUAGCUGUGGAAGGAAAAGCCCACAGGAUUUGUUGAUGCAAUUGGAUUCAAGGUUAGGAGGAGGAGGGAAGCUGUACAUACAAUGGAAUGGAAUGGAGCUGAUUGAUGACAUCCAUUUGAAAGUGUUGAUGCGAAUCCAGACACUGAUUAGAAAACGGCAAGUUCCAAUAUCUGAUCCAAGAAACCUCAACAAGAGAAGCAAAAAAUAUUCCUUCUUCCUGGAAAGCUGUAGAAAGACAGCCACUGUCCUGGGGAAGGACAUGGUCCUGGUUGGGAAGACCUGGCCCGGUGCACCCCGAGGGUCCCAGUGUCCCUGCUGGUCAGGAGGAGCUGCACUUGUGGUCUCCAGAGUGUGACGGCUCAUCACCAAGGGCAUGGUGGCUGAAGAGAAGAAACAGACUAUUUUGGAGAACCUUCCUGAGAUU